rnacentral:rRNA from 1 species
AAACCGGAGCUAAUACCGGAUAAUAUAUUGAACCGCAUGGUUCAAUAGUGAAAGACGGUUUUGCUGUCACUUAUAGAUGGAUCCGCGCCGCAUUAGCUAGUUGGUAAGGUAACGGCUUACCAAGGCAACGAUGCGUAGCCGACCUGAGAGGGUGAUCGGCCACACUGGGACUGAGACACGGUCCAG